AUCCUUUUCUGAUUCAUAAGCAUGAUGUUUAGAUGUUCAUAAAAUUGUGUGAGAUGUGUCUCCCUCAAACCUUGUUCCAACACAGGCAGCAUUGCCCUUCUGAUU